rnacentral:rRNA from 1 species
UACGUAGGGGGCAAGCGUCGUCCGGAUUUAUUGGGCGUAAAGAGCGUGUAGGCGGGCAGACAAGUCUGCUGUGAAAACUCGAGGCUCAACCUCGAGCUGUCGGUGGAAACUGUCUCGCUAGAGUCCGGAAGAGGAGAGUGGAAUUCCUGGUGUAGCGGUGAAAUGCGCAGAUAUCAGGAAGAACACCUAUGGCGAAGGCAGCUCUCCGGGACGGUACUGACGCUGAGACGCGAAAGCGUGGGGAGCGAACAGG